GUCACCAUCCCUGGAUGUGUUUAACAAAGCCUGGAUGUGGCACUCAGAGCCAGGGUUUAGUUCAUGAGGAGGUGUUGGGUCAUGGGCUGGACUUGGUGAUCUCAAAGGUCUUUUCCAACCCAAUUCAUUCUGUGAUUCUGUGAUUCUGUGAUUCUGUGAGCUGCUCCCAAUAAAUCCUUGCCCUGCCAUGCUCUCCAGCCUUUGGCCAGCAAACACAUCCCAGGGCACCAUUUUGCAAAGCAUUGUGUCACAGUGUAGUUCUGGGACUUAUGGCAAGCUUACAUUUGGAGCUGGAACUAAACUCAUGGUUUCUCCAGAAGUUACUCCAUCUCCCUCAGUCUACAGGCUGACCUCUAAAGAUGACCAGAAUCUGGAGAUGUGCCUUAUCACAGAUUACUCCCCUGAACAGCUGGCUCUUGACUCGGCUGAGCAGCACACAUCUGCUGUGGUGGAGGUGGGAAGUGCUGAGAGCAGCAAGGAAUCCAGCUACCUGUCCACCUACUGGGCCAGGAGGGAUGAGCUGCACUGUGGUGCCAGGCACGAGGGCUUUGGAGAGCUGGAGGGCGAGGACCCUGAGAGUGGUGCCAGCGCUGUCUGUGUCACAGGGCUGUCCCUACACUUCAGGACAGAUGAACACUUGAACACGCUGUCUUUGUCACAGCUGGGCCUCAAAAUAGUUUUAAUGAAAACCAUACUUUUUAAUGUGCUGAUGACGAUGCUUAUGUGGAAGAAAAAAAAAGGACUGAAAGUGGUGCAGUCCUGAAGUACCCAAACCAUCUGCUUUGAGAGAGCUUCGUGAGCAAGAGGGAGCACGGGGAUAUUCCCUGUGCAAGGGACAUCACUUGCUGUUCUUCUAAACCACACCAGCCAUUAUAUUCUAAAUUGCUUUAUUUGCAUUGCUUUAAAACGACUCAAAACGAAACAUUUCCAGCGUUCUGCCCUCCUGGGUCACUCACCAUGCAGAGCCUCUUCUGCUGAAGCCG